UACUCAUUAUUACUUUUCUGUAAAGUUUUUUUUUUUUUUUUUUUUUUUAUACUUAAACAACAUGUUCACAGUGCCACCCGGCGCGGCUAGACUUAACCCUCUCCCGCACCGUAAGUUUCCAGUAAGUUUCUGUUCCACUCACAAUGGAUUUCUCGGCCCGACCGGCCUUUUUUUGCCGCCGCGACACUCUACAUUCCCGGCCGUAUUUUACCCUCACAAAUAUAUCGUACCCCAACAAAUUUGGUAUCAAUGGCUUCAUAAAGACUUGUACUAGAACAUACGCAAAUAAAAAUAGAGGAAAAUAAACAAUACAAACUUGUUUUAGGUCUCCGUAUAGAGUAUUGUAAACCAGUGUUGUCCAAACUGGGGUCCGCGUACCCCUGGGGGUACGCAACAUAGAUCAUAAGGGUACGUGACAAGACGACGAACACACACACACACACACACACACACACAGCAGAAACUUCCCAUGGUUUCUAUGAAGGCAAAGGUAGGGGGAGGGAGUCCGAGGGACGGGUCGGUUACUCAGGAAGCACGCGUAUUGUACGUGUACGAGAGCAGUGCUGACUGCUACCCACUUGCUCAGUGACUCAGUCUUCUCUUAGGCGUCAGAGUGAGCGCGGCUGUUUAUUUGAAAAUAACAGAAGCUUACAGAAGGCAGUUGCUCGUUAACAGCAACAAUGGAUAGAUGGCUAAAAAGUGGCAGCUGUAGCAGCCGCAGCGGUGACGCAGACGAAGGAAAUCAAACAGGUGCAAAGAAAAAGAAGACAGAUAUUCCUAAAUAUCGGCAGUACAAGGAAGAUUAUGUGCUUUUGGGAUUUACUGCAACGAAUUCUGAUCCUCCGGAAGCUUUGUGCUUCUUCUGUGGGGAGAGGCUGGCCAACAGUAGUAUGAAACCAGCUCACCUCCAGCGUCACCUGAAAACAAAACAUCAGUGUCAUGUUGGUAAACCGGUAGAGUUCUUCAAAAGAAAGCUCUCUGAUUUUCAGUGCUCCCAAAAAGUACUUCAGAAAGCCACGACAACUUCAGGCAAAGCUCUGAAAGCAUCUUUAGCUGUAUCUUUAUUAAUUGCUAAAGCCAAAAAGCCAUUCAGUAUUGCUGAAGAACUUAUUUUGCCAGCUGCAGGUAUGAUGGCUGAAAUAAUGGUGGAUAAAAAGACAGCUGACCAACUAAAAGCAAUUCCUUUGUCACACCAAACUGUCUCGCGCAGGGUAAGAGAAAUGAGUGCAGAUAUUCAAGAUCAAGUUGUGAAUAAGAUGAAAGCAAGCCAGUCAUUUGCACUCCAAGUUGACGAAUCAACUGACAUUAGUGGGCAGGCUCAUCUUGUCUCCUUUGUGAGAUACAUUGAUGAAGAUGAUAUCAAGGAACACAUACUAUUUUGCAAAAAAUUAGAAGAGCACACAACAGGGGAGGCUAUUUUUAAUGUCAUUAAUCAGUUCUUCUCUGAACAAGGGCUGAGCUGGAAAUCUUGCAUGAGUAUGUGUACAGAUGCUGCUGCAUCUAUGACCGGGAAGGUGAAGGGACUAGUGGCAAGGAUUAAGAAGGAAAAUCCUGAUGUGGAGUGGAUUCACUGCAUCAUUCACAGAGAGUCAUUAGCUUCAAAGAAAAUGAGCCCACAGUUGCAUGGAACUCUGAAUGAUGCCAUCAAGGUAAUCAACUUCAUAAAGUCAAGGCCACUUAAUAGUCGUCUGUUUCACACACUUUGUGAAAGCAUGGGGUCAGAGCACACAGAGCUAUUACUUCACACGGAGGUGCGCUGGCUGUCGCGUGGGAGGAUACUCACCAGAUUGUUCGAGUUGCGAGAUGAGGUAGCUUCCUUCUUAUCAGAACAUGAGUCUCCUUUUGCCACAUAUUUUGAAAACACUACUUGGCUUGCACAACUGGCAUAUCUUGCAGAUAUAUUCAGCAAACUGAAUGAGUUAAAUUUGUCUCUGCAAGGUAAAGACACAAACAUUCUCAACCUAUAUGACAAAGUUGCUGGUUUUCAGAAGAAAAUUGAACUGUGGAAGAAAACAUGCUCAGGGGGAGAGUUUACGUGCUUUCCUCUGUCAGAUGCCUACUUUUCCAUUAACAAUUAUGAGAAAGGCACUCUGAAACCAGUCAUUGUGGAACAUUUGACCAGCCUUAUUAGUGCUUUUAAGUCUUACUUUCCUGACAUACAUGAACGAUCAGUACAACUGGACUGGAUUAGGAACCCAUUCCUCUUUUCUGAACACGAGAAGCUUCCUAUUUGUUUCCAGGAAACACUGAUAGAAGUGUGUGCAGACCGUGGCUUAAAACUGUUAUUUGAAAGCUCAAAUGUCACUCGCUUCUGGAGCUCUGUGAUGAAGGAGCACCCUGAUAUAGGAAAAAUGGCAUUAGAAAAACUUCUGCCAUUUGGGUCUACCUACCUUUGUGAGGCGUCUUUCUCCGCACUGAGCAUUAUCAAAUCGAAACAGAGAAACAAACUAAAUGUCAACCUGGAACAAAGCCUAAUCACUGCAGUAGCCUCAGUACCGCCAAGGAUGGAAAAAAUCAUCAGUGAACAUCAGCCUCACAUCUCGCAUUAAGUUGUAAGUAUUUUUCAUGCAUUGUGUUAUUAAAUCAUCCUUUUUAUUGCUGUGUAAUAAAUUCGAAUUUAUUGACCAGAACUCCUGUUAUACAUUUUUUCAUAUUUAAUUAAUAUAUUACUUGCAUUAUCCUAAAUAAAAUUGAAUUUGUUCAGAAAUGGUGGACGGUGUGGGGGGGUACGUAACAGUAGGAUAAGGUAAUAAAGGGUACAAUAGGCGAAAAUGUUUGGACAGCACUGUUGUAAACAAUACAUCCUAAGUACCAUGUCUUGGAUCUUUUCGGUUUCACUGCCGCAAAAACUAUAAAACCAAAAUACACUUUUCUAAUGCAGUUUUUUAUACUCUUUCCGAGAAUGAAAUUCUUUUUUUCGAGAAAUGAAAAAUAAAAAAGUUAUGGCCAGUUAAAGAUGGUUAUUUCCUAUGCAUUUAUUAAGAAACUUAAUUUUCAUUUUUUCCUCAGAUAAUAUGGCUAGCGACGAAUAUAGUCUAAAGUGGUUUUGGGAACACCUUCAAUCCAAUGAAAGUACUGUCAACUUUCUGCAGAACCACGGAAUAAUACCGAAAGAGAAAUUGUGCCAGAAACACCAUCCAAUGACCAUAGAUUACAAGAGGUCUUCCUGGAGAUGCCACAAGGGUCGUUGCCGGGAAGAAGUAAACCUACGCAAAAACACGUGGCUAGAAGGAUCUACUUUGCCCAUGAAUAAAAUCAUUGAAUUCAUCUAUGCAUGGACAAAAGAAUACACGAGCAUAAAAUUCUGCAGGGACGAACUGGGUAUUAGCCAUGACGCGGUUGUGGACUACAACAACUAUCUAAGAGAGGUGUGUGCCCAUGAAAUAUUAAACAACCCUGUAAAGAUUGGAGGUCCAAACUGCACCGUGGAAAUUGAUGAAACAGUCUAUGCUAAAAGAAAGUACAAUAAAGGAAGAAUGCUGAAGGAACAGUGGGUGUUUGGAGGCGUUUGUAAAGAAACUAGAGAUGUCUUUCUAUAUGCCGUAGAGCGAAGAGAUCGGAGUACACUGGAGAGCUGCAUCAAGGAAAACAUUCUACCAGGUAGUACGAUCGUUAGCGACAUGUGGAAGGCAUAUGAAAAAAUAGAGGAUAUUUCUGGGUACAACUUUAAGCAUUUAACAGUAAAUCACAGUGAAAACUUUGUAGAUCCUAUCACUGGAGCUCACACACAACAAAUUGAAAGCACCUGGAAUUUGCUGAAACGCCGUAACAAAAGGCACUGUGGAACUAAGCGUGAAAUGAUGGAUGGUUACCUAUGUGAAUUUAUUUGGCGUCGCCGGCAUGAGGGACAAGACUUAUUCAAGGUGGUACUAGAAAAUAUUUCAAAAUUCUAAAUUUUAAAGAUUUUUAUGAAAGGAAAUAAACACCUUUAAAUAGCCAUAACUUUUUUUUUUUAAAAACGUUGUGUUUUUUAAAGAUUUUGUGUUCUUAACAAAUACAUAGGAAAUAAACACCUUUAAAUAGCCAUAACUUUUUUAUUUUUCAUUUCUCGAAAAAGAUAAUUACAUUUUCGGAAAGAGCAUAAAAAACUGCAUUAGAAAAGUGUAUUUUGGUUUCAUAAUUUUUGCGGCAGUCAAACCGAAAAGGUCCCCAUGUCUUCCCACCUCGCUAGCUCGAAAGUUUGUGGGCCAACUUUUCUUGCCGAAUAUAUGUUUCGAAGCGGAAUUUAGUGAGGAUUCGUUUGGUAUCUUCAAAAUCCUCAUACGCCUAUUAGUUCCCGAGUUACACCAAGAGAACUGAAUUUAUAUCUAAAUAAUCAACAGAGUUGGCGCUCCCUCUCAUUUCCUUUUACUAUUACGCUAUUUUUUAUCAUUUGUAAAUAAAUUUUAUAGCAUUAUAUAGCUAAUUUCAUAUGGAAGAAUAUGC